rnacentral:tRNA from 1 species
GGGCCCUUAGCUCAGCUGGUUAGAGCACCUGCUUUGCAAGCAGGGGGUCAAGGGUUCGAAUCCCUUAGGGUCCA